CCUACGGGAGGCAGCAGUGAGGAAUAUUGGUCAAUGGGCGAGAGCCUGAACCAGCCAAGUCGCGUGAGGGAGUACUGCCCUAUGGGUUGUAAACCUCUUUUGUCGGGGAGCAAAAGCCGGACGUGUCCGGCUGUGAGAGUACCCGAAGAAAAAGCAUCGGCUAACGCCGUGCCAGCAGCCGCGGUAAUACGGAGGAUGCGAGCGUUAUCCGGAUUUAUUGGGUUUAAAGGGUGCGCAGGCGGAUUUUUAAGUCAGCGGUAAAAUCGUGGGGCUCAACCCCAUCCAGCCGUUGAAACUGGGGAUCUAGAGUGUGCGAGAGGUAUGCGGAAUGCGUGGUGUAGCGGUGAAAUGCAUAGAUAUCACGCAGAACCCCGAUUGCGAAGGCAGCAUACCGGUGCACAACUGACGCUCAGGCACGAAAGCGUGGGUAUCGAACAGGAUUAGAUACCCGAGUAGUC
rnacentral:rRNA from 1 species